rnacentral:rRNA from 1 species
GUGCCUAAUACAUGCAAGUAGAACGCUGAAGAGAGGAGCUUGCUCUUCUUGGAUGAGUUGCGAACGGGUGAGUAACGCGUAGGUAACCUGCCUUGUAGCGGGGGAUAACUAUUGGAAACGAUAGCUAAUACCGCAUAACAAUGGAUGACACAUGUCAUUUAUUUGAAAGGGGCAAUUGCUCCACUACAAGAUGGACCUGCGUUGUAUUAGCUAGUAGGUGAGGUAAUGGCUCACCUAGGCGACGAUACAUAGCCGACCUGAGAGGGUGAUCGGCCACACUGGGACUGAGACACGGCCCAGACUCCUACGGGAGGCAGCAGUAGGGAAUCUUCGGCAAUGGGGGCAACCCUGACCGAGCAACGCCGCGUGAGUGAAGAAGGUUUUCGGAUCGUAAAGCUCUGUUGUAAGUCAAGAACGGGUGUGAGAGUGGAAAGUUCACACUGUGACGGUAGCUUACCAGAAAGGGACGGCUAACUACGUGCCAGCAGCCGCGGUAAUACGUAGGUCCCGAGCGUUGUCCGGAUUUAUUGGGCGUAAAGCGAGCGCAGGCGGUUUGAUAAGUCUGAAGUUAAAGGCUGUGGCUCAACCAUAGUUCGCUUUGGAAACUGUCAAACUUGAGUGCAGAAGGGGAGAGUGGAAUUCCAUGUGUAGCGGUGAAAUGCGUAGAUAUAUGGAGGAACACCGGUGGCGAAAGCGGCUCUCUGGUCUGUAACUGACGCUGAGGCUCGAAAGCGUGGGGAGCGAACAGGAUUAGAUACCCUGGUAGUCCACGCCGUAAACGAUGAGUGCUAGGUGUUGGAUCCUUUCCGGGAUUCAGUGCCGCAGCUAACGCAUUAAGCACUCCGCCUGGGGAGUACGACCGCAAGGUUGAAACUCAAAGGAAUUGACGGGGGCCCGCACAAGCGGUGGAGCAUGUGGUUUAAUUCGAAGCAACGCGAAGAACCUUACCAGGUCUUGACAUCCCGAUGCUAUUUCUAGAGAUAGAAAGUUACUUCGGUACAUCGGUGACAGGUGGUGCAUGGUUGUCGUCAGCUCGUGUCGUGAGAUGUUGGGUUAAGUCCCGCAACGAGCGCAACCCCUAUUGUUAGUUGCCAUCAUUCAGUUGGGCACUCUAGCGAGACUGCCGGUAAUAAACCGGAGGAAGGUGGGGAUGACGUCAAAUCAUCAUGCCCCUUAUGACCUGGGCUACACACGUGCUACAAUGGUUGGUACAACGAGUUGCGAGUCGGUGACGGCGAGCUAAUCUCUUAAAGCCAAUCUCAGUUCGGAUUGUAGGCUGCAACUCGCCUACAUGAAGUCGGAAUCGCUAGUAAUCGCGGAUCAGCACGCCGCGGUGAAUACGUUCCCGGGCCUUGUACACACCGCCCGUCACACCACGAGAGUUUGUAACACCCGAAGUCGGUGAGGUAACCUUUUGGAGCCAGCCG